CUACGGGUGGCUGCAGUGGGGAAUAUUGCACAAUGGGCGAAAGCCUGAUGCAGCAACGCCGCGUGAGGGACGACGGCCUUCGGGUUGUAAACCUCUUUUAGCAGGGAAGAAGCGAAAGUGACGGUACCUGCAGAAAAAGCACCGGCUAACUACGUGCCAGCAGCCGCGGUAAUACGUAGGGUGCAAGCGUUGUCCGGAAUUAUUGGGCGUACAGAGCUCGUAGGCGGUUUGUCGCGUCUGCUGUGAAAAUCCGAGGCUCAAUCUCGGACCUGCAGUGGGUACGGGCAAACUAGAGUGCGGUAGGGGAGAUUGGAAUUCCUGGUGUAGCGGUGGAAUGCGCAGAUAUCAGGAGGAACACCAAUGGCGAAGGCAGAUCUCUGGGCCGUAACUGACGCUGAGGAGCGAAAGCGUGGGGAGCGAACAGGAUUAGAUACCCCCGUAGUC
rnacentral:rRNA from 1 species